rnacentral:rRNA from 1 species
AGCACGCCGACGGUUAAUUCCAGCUCUAAUAGCGUAUAUUAAUAUUGUUGCAGUUAAAAGCUCGUAGUUGAAAUUUGGAACUUUAUUGUAUUGGUUUAUCUUAUGAUGAACUGUAUAAUGGGUUUCUUCCUACUAGAGUUCGAUUCUGUUCUUAAUUGAAUGGAGUAGCUAUCUCUCGGGGGUGGUCAAUUGGUUGUUAUAUCUCCACUAAUAAGCGGAGAGGGUUAAAACCUUCAAAGUAAGUUAUGUGGAUCAAGGUAUGAUGAUUGAUUGGAGUUCUAGUUCAUUUACUUUGAGAAAAUUAGAGUGUUUAAAGCAGCCUCUUGGGGCACUGAAUACAUUAGCAUGGGAUAAUAAAAUAGGAUCUUCACAAUAUAUUUUAUUGGUUUAAAUUGGAUAUGAAGAUAAU